UGUGGCUGCUGCAGGCAACCUGUGCAUAAACACUCCGAUCAAAUCGUUUACCAACGCGGUUGAAACAGUUUUACGUUGGGUAGGUAUAUUACGCUAGAACCGGUCAGAUUAGACCCGAUCGUUGGACUGCCUGGCGGCAGCCUGAAAAGAAAGUCACAGCGAAAUUAAACCACGCACUGAGAUGAGGUAAUACAUAUCGCAUGGGUAUAAAUGAGAUAAUUUUUCCUCGGCCUGGAGAGCGAGCGCUUCGAGCCGUGGCAUGGGAAGGGAAGUGAAACUGGAACUUGGUGACUCUCGAGGAGGAAAUGAAGCUGUCAAUUCCGAUCGAAGAAGUGGGACUUGCUGUGCGUAAACCGCUGCGUCGCCUUUUGCUGAAAGCGACUUAGAGACGGGAUGAUGUUAUGUUUACGCGGAAGUCGAUAAAUAAAGUAGAGCAAAGCGUCUAGAGAUGAAGCAGCUGUUUUUAUACAUUGUGUGUUUUAUUGAUCCGGUCGAUUCUGGCAAUGAUUGUAUAACAACUCAUAGAAAAGUAGCAACAUCUACUAUUGAA